rnacentral:ncRNA from 1 species
CUGCCCCGCGGUCGCUGAUGUGCGACGGAGUCCGCCGCGGACGGCAGCAGUUUUUAAAGACGUCCAUCGCACCGCUCCCCGCGCCGACGGGGUGCGGCCCGAGAACGGGAGAGAACGCUGAGCGUUACAAC